GCAUUGACCAAUUAUUUUUCAUUUUUCAGCUGCACAUCAAAACUUUCCAGCACAUUUCUAUCUUGUUCAAAUAAACUAAUAAACUCCUGAUACAACUCUUGAUACUGCUUAUCAACUUGUCACGCAUGGCAGUGUUUGUUAACUUGCAACAAGAAAAUGUUUAUCUUUUUGCUACACUCAAAGCAAGCAGCAGAAAUGAAAGUUCCUGUAAGAAGCUGGCAAGUGGCCUGCAGUCUAAAGAGACUUUGGUUUGCUCUGUUUUAUUUUUCGUUCCCAUGCCUUUUCUCAGCACAACAUUUUCUAUAUUCCUAAUGCUAAAGAUUGGUAAUAAUUAUCUACAGCCUGAAGUACAAAAAAUGUUCUAAAAUAAGGUGAUGUCUGAGAAAAAGUCAACAAAAACAAACACAUAAAAUAGCAA